GCAUAUCAAUAAGCGGAGGAAAAGAAACCAACAGGGAUUGCCCCAGUAACGGCGAGUGAAGCGGCAACAGCUCAAAUUUGAAAUCUGGCCCCUAGGGUCCGAGUUGUAAUUUGUAGAGGAUGCUUUUGGUGAGGUGCCGCCCGAGUUCCCUGGAACGGGACGCCACAGAGGGUGAGAGCCCCGUCUGGCUGGCCACCGAGCCUCUGUAAAGCUCCUUCGACGAGUCGAGUAGUUUGGGAAUGCUGCUCAAAAUGGGAGGUAUAUGUCUUCUAAAGCUAAAUAUUGGCCAGAGACCGAUAGCGCACAAGUAGAGUGAUCGAAAGAUGAAAAGCACCUUGAAAAGAGGGUUAAAUAGUACGUGAAAUUGUUGAAAGGGAAGCGCUUGUGACCAGACUUGGGCGCGGCGGAUCAUCCGGGGUUCUCUCCGGUGCACUUCGCCGCGUCUAGGCCAGCAUCAGUUCGUCGCGGGGGAAAAAGGCUUCGGGAACGUGGCUCCUCCGGGAGUGUUAUAGCCCGUUGCAUAAUACCCUGCGGUGGACUGAGGACCGCGCAUCUGCAAGGAUGCUGGCGUAAUGGUCACCAGCGACCCGUCUUGAAACACGGACCA
rnacentral:rRNA from 1 species